AUACCUUUCUCGGCCUUUUGGCUAAGAUCAAGUGUAGUAUCUGUUCUUAUCAGUUUAAUAUCUGAUAUGUGGGCCAUUGGUCCACAUGAUAUUAAAUUUAUUUUUUAAGGGGAGAGUCCAUCACAGUAGCUUGCUACUGGGCCUCUCAUGUGUUGCCUAUGCGUUGCACUAUAGCUUGGGCUUGACACACCCCAC
rnacentral:snRNA from 1 species